AUGAUUACGGAUGCGCUCACCGAGCCGGGAGGCACCUCCGCCAUCGCCGGAGGAGGUGUUUUGGCGGGGAUCAAGAGAAAGAAGAAGCGUGGGAGGCCAUUCAAGAAGAGGCCGCCGCGAAACCCGCUUGGGAGGCCGGGGAAGGUCAAACAGCCAGAUUCUGGAGCAACUCCAGCCGCGCCGUCACCGUCAACAACCGGUAUCAAGAGACCGCCAAGAAAAGACAAGUCAGCAGCAGCUUAUCCAUGUCAGAUGACCAAACCAAGCAAGAAACGCCGCUCGUCGCUGCUGAAGUGCUCCAACAGAAGGUUCCUUGCAAGUUUUUGGUCAAAGGUGAUGCUUGCAAACAAGAAAAAGUGGUGCCCAGAUCGAUUUUAUAAUCACAAAUUUGUGAUGCAAGUCCUUAUUUCUACUAGAGAACUUCGAGUAACAUGUAGUAACUGGGAUUGCUGCUACUUAACGCUUAACGCAACGCCUAAUUAUAUAUGA
rnacentral:rRNA from 1 species